UAGCUCAAACAAGACAAUGGACUUUCAAGCUCCAAUUAUCACAUUCCUCUUGCUCAUUUUCACAGUGUCCAAUGGAGAAAUUGUGCUCACUCAAUCACCAGCAUCCACGGCUGUUUUUGAAGGAGAGAGUGUCACCAUCACCUGCAGUGCCAGCUCAAGUGUCAGCACCAGCUACUUGCACUGGUACCAACAGAAGCCAGGGGACUCUCCAAAGCUCCUGGUUUAUAGAACAUCAAACUUGGCCUCUGGAGUCCCAGCUCGCUUCAGUGGCACAGGGUCUGGGACCUCUUAUUCUCUGACAAUCAGCACUCUGGAGACUGAUGAUAUUGCAACUUACUACUGUCAGCAGACUAGUAGCACUCCAUCCACACAGUGUUACAGAGUGGAACAAAAACCGCCUAGAGCUUGUCAAAACACUGCUACUUCCCCCUCAAAUGUUGUGACAUGUUCAAAGGUGACAGUGUUCAUCUGUAACUGA